rnacentral:rRNA from 1 species
GAUGAACGCUGGCGGCGUGCCUAAUACAUGCAAGUCGAGCGAACGGACGAGAAGCUUGCUUCUCUGAUGUUAGCGGCGGACGGGUGAGUAACACGUGGAUAACCUACCUAUAAGACUGGGAUAACUUCGGGAAACCGGAGCUAAUACCGGAUGAUAUUUUGAACCGCAUGGUUCAAAAGUGAAAGACGGUCUUGCUGUCACUUAUAGAUGGAUCCGCGCUGCAUUAGCUAGUUGGUAAGGUAACGGCUUACCAAGGCAACGAUGCAUAGCCGACCUGAGAGAGUGAUCGGCCACACUGGAACUGAGACACGGUCCAGACUCCUACGGGAGGCAGCAGUAGGGAAUCUUCCGCAAUGGGCGAAAGCCUGACGGAGCAACGCCGUGUGAGUGAUGAAGGUCUUCGGAUCGUAAAACUCUGUUAUUAGGGAAGAACAUAUGUGUAAGUAACUGUGCACAUCUUGACGGUACCUAAUCAGAAAGCCACGGCUAACUACGUG